GUGUGGUAUGAAAGUAGCAUUCCCCUUGAUAAGGAUGGAAGUGGUCCUAGUGGCCUUACAACACACAAAUGCUUGUGGCAUCUAACCAUGUAAAACUGCACAAUACUAGGGUUCCAAGCACAGAAUUGG